rnacentral:rRNA from 1 species
UGACCUCGGAUCAGGUAGGGAUACCCGCUGAACUUAAGCAUAUCAAUAAGCGGAGGAAAAGAAACCAACAGGGAUUGCCCUAGUAACGGCGAGUGAAGCGGCAACAGCUCAAAUUUGAAAGCUGGCCUUCGGGUCCGCAUUGUAAUUUGUAGAGGAUGCUUUGGGGAGGCCGCCUGUCUAAGUUCCUUGGAACAGGACGUCAUAGAGGGUGAGAAUCCCGUAUGUGACAGGAAAUGGCACCCUAUGUAAAGCUCCUUCGACGAGUCGAGUUGUUUGGGAAUGCAGCUCUAAAUGGGAGGUAAAUUUCUUCUAAAGCUAAAUAUUGGCGAGAGACCGAUAGCGCACAAGUAGAGUGAUCGAAAGAUGAAAAGCACUUUGGAAAGAGAGUUAAAAAGCACGUGAAAUUGUUGAAAGGGAAGCGCUUGCAAUCAGACUUGUCUAAACUGUUCGGCCGGUCUUCUGACCGGUUUACUCAGUUUGGACAGGCCAGCAUCAGUUUCGGCGGCCGGAUAAAGGCUCUGGGAAUGUGGCCCCCACUUCGGUGGGGGUGUUAUAGCCCAGUGUGUAAUACGGCCAGCCGGGACUGAGGUCCGCGCUCG